CAGCCGAGGUUAUGAACUUUCAAGUGGAAUAUGCCCCUUGAGGAAAACAAUUAGGACCCACUGUCCACCAAGGAGGUUGCAGAAUCAGCAACUGACAUACUGACUGAUGAAACAUGAUGGUGCGUGCAGCAAGAGGGGGUUUGACUGCAGAUGCCGACCACCUGCUUCUGAAAAUUUGUACUAACCACAGUCGAAAACAAGGAGAAACGCUUUGAAUACCGGCGGCCUUCUAUCAGCUAGACAAGUCCCUGAAGCUAUAAAUCAAUAAACUUAUGUGUAUUGAUGACUGUCACGCUAA
rnacentral:lncRNA from 1 species